CAUUAAUAUUUUCCUAAUAUUUUCAUAUGCUUUCCUUGCGUUCUUCCUCUCUGUCUCUCAGGGAAGAGGCUCAGUUUGGUGCGGUCAGAGUGGAAGAGGACGGAUGCCACGCUGCAGAGCUGCAGGAGUUACUGAGAGAACUGGGUCACGCAGACACACUCCAGUGUUUCCUACACGAGAAAAUGAAGUCAGACAGAUGUCAGUGUUGAGAGGAGAGAGAGGCCCGUGAGAGAGCAGUGCAUGCUUCUCGUCAGAUGAGACUGAAUGAAUGUGAAGCUGCAGUGGAAAAGAUCACUGACAUCAUUGAGAAACACAACAGACAGAGACGAACGGCACAGCAGAUGGUGAAGAGCUAAACAUCUCCACCCGCUGGAGUCAGCGAGCUCCCAAAGGCCUUAUGGGAAUCAGUCUGCAGGCGACGCUGUACUCCGAUGUUUGGUGAGGCGUCUGUGGGGUUUGCUGGAGGUCUGGAGGUGCAGGAGGAGACGCUCCUCUCUUCUGAUGGGACCGAGGAGGGAAGAGCAGGAGCGUCGGGAGCCGAGAGCCCUGGAAGAGCAGGAGGAGGAGAAGAUCAGCGGCCGGCUCCUCUAUCAGACCUUCAUGGAGAGAGAGCAUGUGAACUUCAGUCUCUUCAGUUUUGAGCAGAACAGGAAGCUGGAGGAGACGAGCUGAGACGUGGAGAAGCUGAGGUGAAGUUUGGAGCAGGAAGAAGUAGCAGAAUCUCAAUCUGCACAGACUUGUCUCCAGGAUCUGGAUCUGAGUCUGAAACAGGCGGUUCAGGAAUCUGGAAAACUCCAGUCGGAUAUGAGAGAGAAGGAACGUGUCCUCAGCCUGAUGUGUGCAGGUAUAGAGAGUCUCUGUCCAGGCUGGAGUGAAUCACUCCGGGUUAAAGGUGUAUUCUCAGUGGACAGAUGACCUUGUGACCUCAGAUGUCAUCUCUUUGAUUGGCCAGAUCAAGCUCAGAGUCUCUGAUCUUCUGCGUGUUCACACUUCCAGCUGCCGCAGGUCUCUCUCCUGAGAGUGAGGAGGAGUGUGAUGAAGAGGAAGUCAAACCGUUCUCCAGAGACCAGCUCACACAGAACGCCAUGAAGACGCUGCAUUGAUUAGACUGUUGCAUUUAUAUCUUGCAAUUCUGACUUUAUUUCUCACAAUUCCGAGGUUAUAAUUUACAAUUCGGAAUUAUUUUCUCAGAAUUGUGAGUAAAAACUUUUGAAUUUUAUAAGAUAAAAAGUCACAAUUAUCUUUAAUUUUAAAUAUCAUUUCUGAUAUUUUUCUCACAAUACCGAGUUUAUAUCUCAUAAUACAGAGGAAAAAAUAUGCAAAUUUUGAUUUAUGAACUUGAGUUUGAAUUGCGAGUUAACAUUUUUUCCUCAGAAUUGUGAGAGAUAAACUCACA